AACGAACGCUGGCGGCAGGCCUAACACAUGCAAGUCGAGCGCCCUUUCGGGGGAGCGGCGGACGGGUGAGUAACGCGUGGGAAUAUGCCCUUCUCUACGGAAUAGCCUCGGGAAACUGAGAGUAAUACCGUAUACGCCCUGCGGGGGAAAGAUUUAUCGGGGAAGGAUUAGCCCGCGUUGGAUUAGGUAGUUGGUGGGUUAAUGGCCUACCAAGCCGACGAUCCAUAGCUGGUUUGAGAGGAUGAACAGCCACACUGGGACUGAGACACGGCCCAGACUCCUACGGGAGGAAGCAGUGGGGAAUCUUAGACAAUGGGGGCAACCCUGAUCUAGCCAUGCCGAGUGAGUGAUGAAGGCGUUAGGGUUGUAAAGCUCUUUCAGCUGGGAAGAUAAUGACGGUACCAGCAGAAGAAGCCCCGGCUAACUACGUG
rnacentral:rRNA from 1 species